UACGAACCGUCCAAACGUUAUUCGGAAUCACUGGGCUUAAAGGGUGCGUAGGCGGCCCGAAAAGUUGGGUGUGAAAGCCCUCGGCUCAACCGAGGAAUUGCGCCCAAAACUGCCGGGCUCGAGGGAGACAGAGGUGAGCGGAACUUAGGGUGGAGCGGUGAAAUGCGUUGAUAUCCUAAGGAACACCAGUAGCGUAAGCGGCUCACUGGGUCUCUUCUGACGCUGAGGCACGAAAGCUAGGGGAGCGAAG
rnacentral:rRNA from 1 species